UUCUCAUGUUAGCUUGUAUAUUUGCCUUUAAGAGUUUGGUAACAGGGGGGCACCACAAAAUAUUAGAGCCUGGAUCAAAGUUACAACAGCUUGUUCUCAAUUGAGGAGCAAACAACCACUCUUUUUGGUAUCAGAAGCCGAGGAUUUGGCCGAAGUUAUCAUUUGGCUUCUUUUGGAUCGCCAACUUCAAGGUCUUUUGGUGCUUUUGCAAGAGUGCAUUGAAUCACUCAUUGAGUACUUUAAAGAUCAAGAAUGGAUUAGCAGCUGUGAGAAAA